AUACGUAGGUGGCAAGCGUUGUCCGGAAUUACUGGGUGUAAAGGGAGCGCAGGCGGGGGAGCAAGUCAGCUGUGAAAUGCAUGGGCUUAACCGAUGAACUGCAGUUGAAACUGUUCUUCUUGAGUGAAGUAGAGGUUGGCGGAAUUCCGAGUGUAGCGGUGAAAUGCGUAGAUAUUCGGAGGAACACCGGUGGCGAAGGCGGCCAACUGGGCUUUUACUGACGCUGAGGCUCGAAAGUGUGGGGAGCAAACAGGAUUAGAUACCCUGGUAGUCCACACUGUAAACGAUGAUUGCUAGGUGUGGGGGGUCUGACCCCUUCUGUGCCGCAGCUAACGCAAUAAGCAAUCCACCUGGGGAGUACGGCCGCAAGGCUGAAACUCAAAUGAAUUGACGGGG
rnacentral:rRNA from 1 species